rnacentral:rRNA from 1 species
AACUACGGCCAUACCACCCUGAACAAGCCUGAUCUUGUCUGAUCUCAGAAGCUAAGCAGGGUUGGGCUUGGUUAGUACUUAGAUGGGAGAAAUAACAAGCACUGGUGA